AGAUUGAACGCUGGCGGCAUGCCUAACACAUGCAAGUCGAACGGGAGUAGCAAUACUCUAGUGGCGGACGGGUGAGGAAUACGUAGGAAUUUGCCCUUAAGUGGGGGAUAACCCGGGGAAACCCGGAUUAAUACCGCAUGACCUCGAAAGAGCAAAGUGGGGGAUCGCAAGACCUCACGCUUUUGGAGAAGCCUACGUCGGAUUAGCUAGUUGGUGAGGUAAUGGCUCACCAAGGCGACGAUCCGUAACUGGUCUGAGAGGAUGAUCAGUCACACCGGAACUGAGACACGGUCCGGACUCCUACGGGAGGCAGCAGUGGGGAAUAUUGGACAAUGGGCGCAAGCCUGAUCCAGCAAUGCCGCGUGUGUGAAGAAGGCCUUCGGUUGUAAAGCACUUUAAGUUAGGAAGAAAAACGUCGACUACUAACACAGUAGUAGUCUUAGACGUACCGACAGAAUAAGCACGCUAACUCUGUGCCAGCGAGCCGA
rnacentral:rRNA from 1 species